rnacentral:ncRNA from 1 species
UUAAUUUAAUGUUAUAUGCAAAUUUUUGUGUUUAUAAAUUUCUUAAUGUGGAUUAGAUUUAUUUAGUGCAGUAACAAAUAUUAAAUAUAAAAGGAAUUUUGAUUUAGUUAAUUUUAUUAAUAUUGAUUAAAUAUGUGCCAGCAAUCGCGGUUAUACAUGGAAUAUAAAUAAGUAUUUUUAGUUAUAUAGUUUAUUAAUAUUUAUUUAAUUUAAUUUGGGAAUUUUUAGGUAAAAUUUGAAUUUUCUUUUUUGUUAUGAAUUAAUAAAUGAGGCUGUGAAAUCUAAAUAAAUUAGACUAGGAUUAGAUACCCUAUUAUUUUAGACUUAAAUUUUUAACUUGAGUAGUAUUAGGUAUGGUCUUGAAACUUAAAGAAUUUGGCGGUAUUUUAGUCUGGUUAGAGGAAUCUGUUCCAUUAUCGAUAAUCCACGAUGGACCUUACUUAAUUUAAUUUAAUAUGUAUACCGCCGUUUAUUUGAAGAUCUUUUUAGGGUAUUUUCUUUAAAUUGUAAUUAAUUUUAUUUCAGGUCAAGGUGCAGUUAAUGAUUAAGUGGUAAUGGAUUACAUUAUUUAUAAAAUAUACGGAUUAAUAUUUGAAAUUAUUUUAUGAAGGAGGAUUUAAUAGUAAUUAAUAAUAAGAAUUAUUUUUAUGAUUUUGGCUCUAGAAUGUGCACACAUCGCCCGUCACUCUCGUUAUUAAGAUGAGAUAAGUCGUAACAAAGUAGGUGUACCGGAAGGUGUGGCUAGAUUGAU